UAGCGAGGACUGCCGGUAAUAAACCGGAGGAAAGGUGGGGAUGGACGUCAAAUCAUCAUGCCCCUUAUGACCUGGGCUACACACGUGCUACAAUGGUUGGUACAACGAGUUGCGAGUCGGUGACGGCGAGCUAAUCUCUUAAAGCCAAUCUCAGUUCGGAUUGUAGGCUGCAACUCGCCUACAUGAAGUCGGAAUCGCUAGUAAUCGCGGAUCAGCACGCCGCGGUGAAUACGUUCCCGGGCCUU
rnacentral:rRNA from 1 species